AACGAACGCUGGCGGCGUGGCUAACCCAUGCAAGUCGAACGCGAACGUGCCCUUCGGGGCGCUAUUAGCGUGGCGAAAGGGUGAGUAACACAUGGGCAACAUACCCCGGGCUGGAGGAUAGUCCAUCGAAAGGUGGCGUAAUACUCCAAACACCGCGAGACGGAAUCGCCUUGCGGUCAAAGGCGGGGCCCCGCACCCAACCCAUUGUCAGGAGCAUCGUAGCGGAGCCUGGCCGUGGUUUGGGUGCGGGGCCUGUCGGCUUGGGAUUGGCCCAUGUCCCAUCAGCUUGUUGGUAGGGUAACGGCCUACCAAGGCAUCGACGGGUAGCCGGACUGAGAGGUCGAUCGGCCACAUUGGGACUGAGACACUGCCCAGACUCCUACGGGAGGCUGCAGGGACGAAUAUUGGGCAAUGGGCGAAAGCCUGACCCAGCGACGCCGCGUGUGGGAGGAAGCCCUUCGGGGUGUAAACCACUGUCAGGAGUUACCAAGCAAUUCCCGCUAAUAUCGGGAGGCGUUGAGGAGCUCCGAAGGAAGCCACGGCUAACUUCGUGCCAGCAGCCGCGGUAAGACGAAGGUGGCUAGCGUUGUUCGGAAUCAUUGGGCUUAAAGAGCACGUAGGCGGCCCGUCAAGCGUCUUGUGAAAUCCCUCGGCUCAACCGAGGAAUGGCUUGGCGAACUGGCGGGCUUGAGACAGGCAAGGGUGCGUGGAACUCUUGGUGGAGCGGUGAAAUGCGUAGAUAUCAAGAGGAACGCCGGUGGCGAAAGCGAUGCACUGGGCCUGACCUGACGCUGAGGUGCGAAAGCUAGGGUAGCGAACGGGAUUAGAUACCCCGGUAGUCCUAGCCGUAAACGAUGUCCACUAGGUUGAGGAUCUUUUGACGGAAUCUCGGCCGCAGCUAAAGCGUUAAGUGGACCGCCUGGGGAGACGGUCGCAAGGCU
rnacentral:rRNA from 1 species